rnacentral:rRNA from 1 species
UACAGAGGUCCCAAGCGUUGUUCGGAUUCACUGGGCGUAAAGGGUGCGUAGGCGGUCGGGUAAGUCUGACGUGAAAUCUCCAAGCUCAACUUGGAAAUGGCGUCGGAUACUAUUCGGCUGGAGGAAUGGAGGGGAGACUGGAAUUCUCGGUGUAGCAGUGAAAUGCGUAGAUAUCGAGAGGAACACCAGUGGCGAAGGCGACUACCUGGCCUGUUCUUGACGCUGAGGCGCGAAAGCUAGGGGAGCAAACGGG